UGGUGGAGUGAUUUGUCUGGUUAAUUCCGAUAACGAACGAGACCUUAACCUGCUAAAUAGUCACUGGAAACUGCUACAAAAGCAUCGUCGUCCGGCCGAGCUUGAGGGGCAACCCGAGGGCGGAGCUUGGCGGCGGUGUGGUUGUUUCCGAGGAUGCACUUCUUAGAGGGACUUUCAGCUCUGAAGCUGAAGGAAGUUUGAGGCAAUAACA
rnacentral:rRNA from 1 species